rnacentral:rRNA from 1 species
ACGGGAGGCAGCAGUGGGGAAUAUUAGGCAAUGGGCGCAAGCCUGACCUAGCAACGCCGCGUGAAGGAAGAAGGCCUUCGGUUUGUAAACUUCUUUUAUGAGGGACGAAGGACGUGACGGUACCUCAUGAAUAAGCCACGGCUAACUACGUGCCAGCAGCCGCGGUAAUACGUAGGUGGCAAGCGUUGUCCGGAUUUACUGGGUGUAAAGGGCGCGUAGGCGGGUGUGCAAGUCAGAUGUGAAAUCCAUGGGCUCAACCCAUGAACGGCAUUUGAAACUGCAUAUCUUGAGUAUCGGAGAGGCAAGCGGAAUUCCUAGUGUAGCGGUGAAAUGCGUAGAUAUUAGGAGGAACACCAGGGGCGAAGGUGGCUUGCUGGACGACAACUGACGUUGAGGCGCGAAAGCGUGGUGAGCAAACAGGAUUAGAUACCCUGGUA